rnacentral:rRNA from 1 species
AUGCAAGUAGAACGCUGAAGAGAGGAGCUUGCUCUUCUUGGAUGAGUUGCGAACGGGUGAGUAACGCGUAGGUAACCUGCCUGGUAGCGGGGGAUAACUAUUGGAAACGAUAGCUAAUACCGCAUAAUAGCAGUUAUUGCAUGAUAGCUGUUUGAAAGGUGCAAAUGCAUCACUACCAGAUGGACCUGCGUUGUAUUAGCUAGUUGGUGAGGUAACGGCUCACCAAGGCGACGAUACAUAGCCGACCUGAGAGGGUGAUCGGCCACACUGGGACUGAGACACGGCCCAGACUCCUACGGGAGGCAGCAGUAGGGAAUCUUCGGCAAUGGACGGAAGUCUGACCGAGCAACGCCGCGUGAGUGAAGAAGGUUUUCGGAUCGUAAAGCUCUGUUGUAAGAGAAGAACGAGUGUGAGAGUGGAAAGUUCACACUGUGACGGUAUCUUACCAGAAAGGGACGGCUAACUACGUGCCAGCAGCCGCGGUAAUACGUAGGUCCCGAGCGUUGUCCGGAUUUAUUGGGCGUAAAGCGAGCGCAGGCGGUUAGAUAAGUCUGAAGUUAAAGGCUGUGGCUUAACCAUAGUACGCUUUGGAAACUGUUUAACUUGAGUGCAAGAGGGGAGAGUGGUAUUCCAUGUGUAGCGGUGAAAUGCGUAGAUAUAUGGAGGAACACCGGUGGCGAAAGCGGCUCUCUGGCUUGUAACUGACGCUGAGGCUCGAAAGCGUGGGGAGCAAACAGGAUUAGAUACCCUGGUAGUCCACGCCGUAAACGAUGAGUGCUAGGUGUUAGACCCUUUCCAGGGUUUAGUGCCGCAGCUACGCAUUAAGCACUCCGCCUGGGGAGUACGACCGCAAGGUUGAAACUCAAAGGAAUUGACGGGGG